GACGAACGCUGGCGGCGUGCCUAAUACAUGCAAGUUGAGCGCUGAAGGUUGGUACUUGUACCAACUGGAUGAGCAGCGAACGGGUGGGUAACGCGUGGGGAAUCUGCCUUUGAGCGGGGGACAACAUUUGGAAACAAAUGCUAAUACCGCAUAAAAACUUUAAACACAAGUUUUAAGUUUGAAAGAUGCAAUUGCAUCACUCAAAGAUGAUCCCGCGUUGUAUUAGCUAGUUGGUGAGGUAAAGGCUCACCAAGGCGAUGAUACAUAGCCGACCUGAGAGGGUGAUCGGCCACAUUGGGACUGAGACACGGCCCAAACUCCUACGGGAGGCAGCAGUAGGGAAUCUUCGGCAGUGGACGAAAGUCUGACCGAGCAACGCCGCGUGAGUGAAGAAGGUUUUCGGAUCGUAAAACUCUGUUGGUAGAGAAGAACGUUGGUGAGAGUGGAAAGCUCAUCAAGUGACGGUAACUACCCAGAAAGGGACGGCUAACUACGUG
rnacentral:rRNA from 1 species